rnacentral:lncRNA from 1 species
GAAUUCUUUGUUUUUCAUUUUUGCUUUUAUUUCCUCUCCUAUCUCUUCCUCCACUCUCUAGAAGCAAAACACCCUCUGGCAAUGAAAGUUAAAGAUGCUUCUCCAGAGAGGCACCAAGCCAGGGCCUAGAGGGCUGAUCCCCAACCCAUUGCCAACUGCAGUCUAAGCAGUAAUUUUCCUUCCCCCUUACUCUUUUCUGGGAAGUCCUGGGAAAUGCAGAGGUUUCUAAGGCCUCCCUGGAGAGAAACGGAAAUCUUUCCCCUGAUAAGCAUUCCAACUCCUCUUGAAAGAUCUUUUAUUGACACAACUUUGAACGGCUGCUGCAGAGAGGCUGCCUUUUGUGGUCUGCACAAACAAGCAGAGGCAGUGGGCACUAGACAAAUUCCCUGUACUCAUCAGAGAGAAGUUCUGCCCCUUCUGGUCCUCUCUACAACUUGGUUUCUCUGCGCAAAGACACAUGUACUCCAAUGUUCAUUGCAGCACUAUUUGCAAUAGCCAAAACAUGGAAACAACCUAAAUGUCCAUUGACAGAGGAGUGGAUCAAGAAAAUGUGGUACAUAUACACAAUGGAAUAUUACUCAGCCAUUAAAAGGAACGAAAUACCAGCAUUUUUAGCAACAUGGAUGGACCUAGAAAUUAUCAUACUUAGUGAAGUCAGCCAUACAAUGAGACACCAACAUCAAAUGCUUUCACUGACAUGUGAAAUUUGAAAAAAGGACAGACUGAACUUCUCUGUAGAACAGAUGCUGACUCACAGACAUUGAAAAACUUAUGGUCUCUGGAGGAAACCGUGUGGGGGGUAGGGGGACAUGCUUGGGAUGUGGGAUGGAAAUCCUGUGAAAUUGGAUUGUUAUGAUCAUUAUAUAACUACAGAUGUGAUAAAUUCAUUUGAGUAAUAAAAAACAAACAAACAAACUUGGUUUCUCUGUA